rnacentral:lncRNA from 13 species
AAUAUAUCUGAACAUACAGUCUGUCUAAUCACCCCUUUUUAUUCAGACGGCAACAAAAGGACACAUCGGAUUCAGAGAAAAAUGGUUGAGGACAAAGCGGCCUUGACAGCUGCCAUUGUUCAACUUCACCAACAGCAAGGCAGAGUUUAGGCUCCCCACAGUGGACGAGCUGAUCAACACUGACAGCUUUGUGUGGCCAUGGGAGAGACUUGGCACCAGUAAGAAACAGGACUGCAGAAGGUAUCUAUUGGGAUUGAAUGUUUACCUUCAGCGUAGGCUGCAAUCAUUGCUGCCGUUCUGUUAUAUACCUCUGUGAGUUUACAUCACACAGGCAACAGCCAUCUUGUCAUCAAAAAAGGCAAUCUUGGACAGACUGAUGUUGGUGAACAGACUACAGGAGGAAGAGUGGAUCCUGGUGAAGGAGAUGAAGAGGCACUGGGGGGAGCCUACAAAGAGCAUCGGGAACACAGAAGGCAAUUCAGUGGAGUUGUCAGAGGGAGAAAGGAAUGGCCUUCUCUGCCACCUGAAGAGAAGAUUGAGUGAACUGACACAAGACCAAGUCAACACCAGGAACACCUACCACAAGCUGAUUCUGGGAGGAGGGGAUAUUUUUUUAUGACUCCGAUGAAGACAAGAACUCAGAUGAAGAUAGAAGUCCUAUUGCUGAGAGAUCAGAUGACUCCUGCUAUGCUUUCUGAAAUCACACAACACUCCUGCCUCUUUCACUUGGUCUCGCUGUCUCCCGCAGGAGAGGGAGAAGGUCGCCACCACCUCCCUUGGGAGCAGCCUGGUCUCCUGACGUUGACCCCUGACCCCCUCACCUUCUGAACCCAUCCAAGGAAAUGUAAUUUGCCCGAUGACGCGCUAGUGGAGAAGGAAUGUGUAUUUUUCAGCGCAUUUGUUGCCAUGUUUCUUCCCCUCACCUCUCCUCUGUUUCUUUCCUGGUCCUAGGCUGUAGCGAAGUCAUCAGCAACUCAGACUGUUGCUUGAAGACAUCUUUACCGAGGAAUGUGUUUUGUUCUUCAUCAUUGUUUUUUGUUGUAUUUUCUUCAAGUGUUGUCUAUGAUGUCAUGAUUGGGAUUUCCUUUUGUUUGUUGUAAUUGUGAGUUGUGAAAGAGUCCUUCCUUGGUCUCAAUGGGACUGCUUAAAUAAAUAAAGCUCUCAAUAAAUAAAUGCAUUAAGCAGUAACAGCUCUGAGUGUGUGUGUGUGUGUUUCAAU